UAGACACAGUAACUAACAAGAAUUCAACUGACAGGUAGUUUGACCAGACUGGGAGGAAGGAUUUCUUCAAAGAGUGGGACACAAGAGAAAUAAGCCAAAAACUAGACUAUUACAAAAUCUUUCUUCUCAAGGACCAGCUUCACAUCAGCAAGUACCUUCUUCAGUUAAAACUGGUUACAUUAGACUUCAAUCAAAUCCAUCUAGUCAAAAGAUCCAUGGUCUCUCAAACUCAUUUAAAUUCUAUUGCUUCCAGGAGAUCCGAGAUGA
rnacentral:lncRNA from 1 species